rnacentral:other from 1 species
GGCGCGGUAAGGGCAUCGCCUCCUCCUCUUAAAGGAAACUCCCUCUGGUGGUGAAUGGGAACUCCCUGCCUCCUGCACCGGCUUGUCUGCAGCAGCCCUGGUAGGACAGCCUGGACACUGCCGCAGUGGCUGCUGCCCCAGAAAGAAAGCGCCCAGAGCC